AUUCCAGCUCCAAUAGCGUAUAUUAAAGUUGUUGCAGUUAAAAAGCUCGUAGUUGGAUUUCUGUUCUUGGGGAGCGGUCCGCCGCAAGGUGAGCACUGCAGCUCUGGGGACAUCCUCUCGAAGGCGGGUGGUGCACUUAAUUGUGUGCUGCUUGGAUUCGGGACCUUUACUUUGAAAAAAUUAGAGUGUUCAAAGCAGGCGUCGGCUUGAAUACAUUAGCAUGGAAUAAUGGAAUAGGACUUUGGUUCUAUUUUGUUGGUUUCUAGGACCGAAGUAAUGAUUAAUAGGGACAGUUGGGGGCAUUAGUAUUUAAUUGUCAGAGGUGAAAUUCUUGGAUUUAUGAAAGACUAACUACUGCGAAAGCAUUUGCCAAGGAUGUUUUCAUUG
rnacentral:rRNA from 1 species